rnacentral:lncRNA from 1 species
CUAUCUAUCUAUCUAUCUAAUCUAUCUAUCCAUCUAUCUAUCUAUCUAAUCUAUCCAUCUAUCUAUCUAUCUAAUCUAUCUAAUCUAUCCAUCUAUCUAUCUAUCUAAUCUAUCUAAUCUAUCUAUCUAUCUAUCUAUCUAUCUAUCUAAUCUAUCUAUCCAUCUAUCUAUCUAUCUAAUCUAUCCAUCUAUCUAUCUAUCUAAUCUAUCUAAUCUAUCCAUCUAUCUAUCUAUCUAUCUAUCUAUCUAUCUAAUCUAUCUAAUCUAUCCAUCUAUCUAUCUAUCUAUCUAUCUAAUCUAUCUAAUCUAUCCAUCUAUCUAGGCUCACUGCAACCUCCGCCUCCUGGGUUCAAGCAAUUC